CAGUAGCCGCGGGAAAACGUAGGGUGCAAGCGUUAAUCGGAAUUACUGGGCGUAAAGCGUGCGCAGGCGGUCCGCUAAGACAGAUGUGAAAUCCCCGGGCUUAACCUGGGAACUGCAUUUGUGACUGGCGGGCUAGAGUAUGGCAGAGGGGGGUAGAAUUCCACGUGUAGCAGUGAAAUGCGUAGAGAUGUGGAGGAAUACCGAUGGCGAAGGCAGCCCCCUGGGCCAAUACUGACGCUCAUGCACGAAAGCGUGGGGAGCAAACAGGAUUAGAUACCCGAGUAGUCCCUGUCUCUUAUAC
rnacentral:rRNA from 1 species